UGGACGGGAUAAGUGCUGAAAGCAUCUAAGCAUGAAGCCCCCCUCAAGAUGAGAUUUCCCAACUUCGGUUAUAAGAUCCCUCAAAGAUGAUGAGGUUAAUAGGUUCGAGGUGGAAGCAUGGUGACAUGUGGAGCUGACGAAUACUAAUCGAUCGAAGACUUAAUCAA
rnacentral:rRNA from 1 species